ensembl:miRNA
UUCUGGGGGCCGGCAGAGGUGGGGCUCGUGGUCUUGAGGCUGUGGAGAGAGAUGAUCUGGCAGGUUUCCCAUGUGCCUCUCGUCUUUUCUCCAGGCCGUGGCCGCGGUGACAGUUGCUUUUACCAAAGAAGCAUUGAGG